rnacentral:rRNA from 1 species
CGGACGGGUGAGUAAUGUCUGGGAAACUGCCUGAUGGAGGGGGAUAACUACUGGAAACGGUAGCUAAUACCGCAUAACGUCGCAAGACCAAAGAGGGGGACCUUCGGGCCUCUUGCCAUCGGAUGUGCCCAGAUGGGAUUAGCUAGUAGGUGGGGUAACGGCUCGCCUAGGCGACGAUCCCUAGCUGGUCUGAGAGGAUGACCAGCCACACUGGAACUGAGACACGGUCCAGACUCCUACGGGAGGCAGCAUG